UACGAAGGGGGCUAGCGUUGCUCGGAAUCACUGGGCGUAAAGGGUGCGUAGGCGGGUUUCUAAGUCAGAGGUGAAAGCCUGGAGCUCAACUCCAGAACUGCCUUUGAUACUGGAAGCCUUGAGUUCGGGAGAGGUGAGUGGAACUGCGAGUGUAGAGGUGAAAUUCGUAGAUAUUCGCAAGAACACCAGUGGCGAAGGCGGCUCACUGGCCCGAUACUGACGCUGAGGCACGAAAGCGUGGGGAGCAAACAGGAUUAGAAACCCGUGUAGU
rnacentral:rRNA from 1 species